UGGGCCGGGGCGGGGGGGGGGGGGGGGGUGUCUCCAGCAGGGCCAGCGAGGAAGGGGCAAUUCCCACCAACCCCUGGUGGAUCAGGUCUCCUGACCCCAAGACAGGACUCUGCCCCUCACUCACAUGGGAGCUGCCAGGAGGCCCUGGCAGUCCAAACCACGUGUGCAACAGUCACGUGCUGGGGACACAGCGACAAACCAAACCAACCAACCAACCAACCAACGCUGGGAGAAGAGCGACUGCCAAACUACUUUCCACAGCGGCUGCACCACUGUCCACGCCCAGCAGUGCGUGAGGUUCCGGUUUCUGCUCAUCCUGGCCAGCACUCGUCCGGCCUGUCUUUUUGACGACUGCCACCCGGGAGGCAGUGCCCACUGGGAGGGGUGUCUCGCUGUGGGUUUGAUUUGCAUUUCCGGGAUGAUCACUGGCGUCUGGCACCUUUUCAUGUGCUCCUUGGCUCUCCGCGUGUCUUUGGAGAAACGUCUGUUCCGAUCACAUGCCGCUGUUAACUGG